rnacentral:tRNA from 4 species
GUCCCCAUAGCUCAGCGGACAGAGCGCAGCCCUCCGGAGGCUGAGGCGAAGGUUCGAUUCCUUCUGGGGACGCCG